CAGCCGCAGGCAGUACCUCGGCGUGACGCGGUGACGCAGCCGGAGAGAGCUUCACGCACACCAUCUCUUCAUUCUUCCUGAACUCUGUCACGGAGGGGGCCUUUAUUUAUUUAUUUUUGGGAAAUCUGCUUCGCCACUGAAGGUACUCUGCACCCCAGAAGGAAUACGACUUCAGUGUUUCAUGAAGUAUUUUACAGAAGAAAUGAAAGUGAACUGGUGUCACAAAGAUGCUAAGAUCUCAUCCAGUGAGCAUAUGAGAAUCGGGGGGAGUGAAGAGAUGGCCUGGCUGCAGAUAUGUGAGCCGACCGAGAAGGAUAAAGGAAAAUACACUUUUGAGAUUUUCGAUGGCAAAGAUAACCAUCAACGCUCCCUCGACCUGUCCGGACAAGCUUUUGACGAAGCAUUUGCAGAGUUCCAGCAACUCAAAGCUGCUGCUUUUGCAGAGAAGAAUCGUGGCAGGUUGAUUGGCGGCUUGCCUGACGUGGUGACCAUCAUGGAAGGGAAGACCUUGAAUCUGACCUGCACGGUGUUUGGAAACCCUGACCCCGAAGUGAUUUGGUUCAAGAACGACCAGGACAUCCAGCUCAGCGAGCACUUCUCAGUGAAGGUGGAGCAGGCCAAGUACGUCAGCAUGACCAUCAAAGGCGUGACCUCCGAGGACUCGGGCAAGUACAGCAUCAACAUCAAGAACAAGUAUGGCGGGGAGAAGAUCGACGUGACGGUGAGCGUGUACAAACACGGGGAGAAGAUCC
rnacentral:sRNA from 1 species